rnacentral:rRNA from 1 species
GACGAACGCUGGCGGCGUGCUUAACACAUGCAAGUCGAACGGAAGGGCCCUGCUUUUGUGGGGUGCUCGAGUGGCGAACGGGUGAGUAACACGUGAGUAACCUGCCCUGGGCUUUGGGAUAACUUCAGGAAACUGGGGAUACUACCGAAUAGGAGCGCCUGCUGCAUGGUGGGGUUUGGAAAGUUUCGGCGGUGGGGGAUGUACUCGCGGCUUAUCAGCUGGUUGGUGGGGUAGUGGCUUACCAAGGCUUUGACGGGUAGCCGGCCUGAGAGGGUGGACGGCCACAUUGGGACUGAGAGACGCCCCAGACUCCUACGGGGGGCAGCAGGGGAGAAUAUUGCACAAUCGGGGGAAGCCUGAUGAGGCAACGCCGCGUGCGGGAUGACGGUCUUCGGGUUGGAAACCGCUUUCGCCUGUGACGAAGCGGGAGUGACGGUAAUGGGUAAAGAAGCACCGGCUAACUACGUG